AGACUACUCCCUCCGUCCCAAAAUAACUGACGUGGAUUUGUAUAAGAAUCUAUACAAAUCAACGUCAGUUAUUUUGGGACGGAGGGAGUAUUAU
rfam:Brachypodium distachyon strain Bd21 chromosome 2, whole genome shotgun sequence.